rnacentral:lncRNA from 10 species
CGCACGCCGCCACAUCUGGCUAAUUUUUUGUAUUUUUAGUAGAGACGGGGUUUCACCGUGUUAGCCAGGUUGGUCUCGAUCUCCUGACCUCGUGAUUUGCCCACCUCAGCCUCCCAAAGUGCUGGGAUUACAGGCGUGAGCCACUGCGCCCAGCCAUACUAGGACAUCUUAUGCUUCAGACCCACUGGCUAGAGGUUUUGUUUAAACAGAAUGAGGAGUUUAGGAAAGUUUCUGGCAACAGAGACUAGUUACACACUUGAAUCCCAUUUUCUGCUCCUGGACACACAAAAACACUGCACUCCCCACCCUUACAGCAGUCAGCCUGGAGGCAUGUGAGUAGAUGCUAGCCAACUGAAGUGGUGUGCCACUGCUGGGCCUGGUCCUGAGCAUCCCAUGUGCUCAUCCAAGCCUUUGCUCCUGUCUGACCUGAGAAGAGGCAGAUGGUGGGGCCACAGGCUGGAAGGAGUUUGGGUUUCUGAGUCACUGCUGGCAGGAGAACCAUCUGGAAAAGCCACCUAGCCCGCAUCAGAUGUGACAUGAGCAAGAAACGAGCUAUGAUUGUAUUAUGCCACCGAGACUUCAGGGUUCCUGUGUUACUGCCACACUGUUGGCCUGUGCAGAUGGAUGUUGCUGGUGGCAGCAAAGGGGACGCAUGGAAAGGGGCAGAACAGCUUCCUCCCAGAUGAGUUGGCAGCCUUUUUGGAAGUCUCUGACACCUGCUGUGGCUCAUUGGACAGUUCUGAAGCACGCGGCAACAUCUAACUGCAAGGGAAGCUAAGAAAUGCAACCAUUUAGCCAGGCAUAUUGCUCUGAGCAGAGCUGGGAGAUUCCUGCUGGAGAAGGGAGGCUGGGAAGAGGUGGCAGGCAGCAGCUCUGCCAGCCAGGGUGAAUUCCUGUUAAAAUGCCUGUUUAUUCCCAUUUUGGCUUUCUUUUGCUGACCACAGCUUUGGGGAUCUUUGGACAAUGGGUUCAUAUCCAUAGCAGGUGAAGAGUAAGGGAGAACUAACAUGCCCCCUGCAAGAACACAUUAGCCCUUGUAAAUCAAUCGUUCCUCUGCCUUACAGAUUACCUGCAAAAUGUUGUAAUAGGUGUGAUUUUUAAUUUCAUUAAUUUGGCCAGGCACACCUGUAUUCCCAGCAACUUGGGAAGCCAAGGUGGGAGGAUCACUUGAGCAUAGGAGUUUGAGGCUGCAGUGAGCCGCAGUCUCACUACUUCACUCCAGCACAGGUGAUGGAGCAAGACCCUGUCUCUAGAAAAAAAUCCAUUGAUUAAUAAAUACUAAUAAAUAAAACCCAAUGCGGCCGGGCACGGUGGCUCAUGCCUGUAAUCCCAGCACUUUGGGAGACCGAG